UACGAAGGGGGCUAGCGUUGUUCGGAAUUACUGGGCGUAAAGCGCACGUAGGCGGAUUUGUAAGUCAGGGGUGAAAUCCCGGGGCUCAACCUCGGAACUGCCUUUGAUACUGCAAAUCUCGAGUCCGAUAGAGGUGGGUGGAAUUCCUAGUGUAGAGGUGAAAUUCGUAGAUAUUAGGAAGAACACCGGUGGCGAAGGCGGCCCACUGGAUCGGUACUGGACGCUGAGGUGCGAAAGCGUGGGGAGCAAACAGG
rnacentral:rRNA from 1 species